CUGGGGAAACCAACAAGAACAAUGAAAACAUACCCCUAGGCCAGCCAGCCAGCAGAUGCUGGAGAGGGCCUCACUGUUGGUGGCUUCCCAGACAGCUGUGGGAACUCUGAACCGAUCUCCUCCCUCCCAGUAAACUCCCCCAUAGCAACUCCUAAGUUCUGCACUGGCAACAACACCUUUUCCCUCGUCUUACCCAGCCCCCUCCUUCCUGCACUUCCCUCCUCCCUGAUCUUUGUCCUUCAGAGGUGACAUGCAGGCUCUCUAGGCUGUCCAACAGGCAGCUCGCAGUACUCAGCAGGCCCAGCUGUGAACUACACCCCACAGCCGCUCCAGUUUGGAGAAUGUAACGGACAGCUUGGGAGCACUAAUGCAUUUCUGCUAUCACUUGUCAUUUUAAAGAGUAACACAUUUUCUCUCUCUUCUUAAAACAAACCCCACAUUACCCUCCAUCUUUCUUCUCCAUCUCUGACUCAGUUCUCAGAGCAUGUGCCCUUGACGACACUCACCAGAGACGAGCAAAUGCCAGUGAAGGUGGCGCUGUUACAAAACAGCAUCCCAUCUGAGCCCGAGUCAUUCUCCAGCCACGAGGAUCCUCAAUCUCCUCUUCACAGGCAUUAUCCACAGGAAAGACAGAACCCCUGAGUGCAGCAGACAUUCCACAUCUAGGAUGCAGAAGACGCUCUGCACCUCACCCAUAAAGCCAUUUUCACGGAAGCAAUGGAUGCAGAUCUAGACCAUCUCAUUGAACCCAAAGUCCAGACACCGUCCACUUUCUGAUUGAAGGGAAAGACAGAGGAUGACCCAAAGCAUCUCACAUUUCUACUCUUCCCUGUGUCUGAAUAAAGCCAGGGUCGGCUCCUGAUAAGCUGUCCACAGUGUGAGCAGCAAAGGAAAAAAACAAAAGCCUACCGCCUCACCUGUGAC